UUACAUUACAUUUCCCAGGGCUAAGCCAUGAAAUUGAAAACAGAAUCUAGGCAUGGCACAGUUAAGUCCGACUAUUCCCAUGGGUCAUGAGACUAUUUAUUCUUAUUCCCUGACAACACACAAGUUUGUUUGGGCAGUUUUCAAAAAUACCAGUGGCAAUUAAGUUAAAUGUAAUUAAAUUAGUCAUGGAGAAUCAACAAUCAGUUUUCUCAGCAACUGGAAAAAAGUUGCACAAGAGGGGUAGAAUGUAUUUAUUAAAAAUAACUGUCGUUCACUUUCCCUUCCAAACUAGAGGGGUUUACAAAAUACACAAAAGCUUACCAAAAGUCACAACAUAUUAAUAUAUCCAGAUAAUAUGAAUGACAUUCAAAACAUAUUUGGUGUCAUUUCAGGGGAAGAUUCUUCACAAUUUUUGCUGAAUAACUAGGGCCACAAGCAAUUUUAUUAGUGCUGGCUGUUUUCAUGGGGGAUUUGUGAGGCAAAGGAUCUUAGGAAGUUCAUUCUAAAACCUGAUCAAGUGCAAAUUCUGGGUUGUUUAGCCAAGGCACUUCUUAAAAUUUCCUCCCUAACGAGCACCCUCUCUGCAGCUUCCCUCACAAAGAUUAGAGCAGCUUCCCAAUGAAAUAACUGCAGGAAGACCAAAAGUGGCAGCCCUCUAGGCAACAGACAGAGAGCUGUGAUGUCAAAGCUGUGGUAACCUUAGUAAGUGUGACAUUUACUGGGCAGAAUGUGAAUUCCUAUUCUGUUGCAACACAAAGGCAGAGAGGCACAUCUUUUUUCUUUUGCCCAUACGUUUGGAGCCAAAGGCAAAACCAAAGAGAAUACAUUGUCAGCUAUGAUCAAGCAGAAUUUGAAAUCCUACAGCUGGGCAGUGCCCUGUCUUCUGAUUUCUAUCUGUUUGGCUGUUUAUGCUGGUGUUGGAAAUGCAGCCAAGGAGAACAGAGCUAUCUCAACCCAUUCACCUGCCGCUUCCCCCACGACAGUGUUUCACACACACGGAAUGAGUCUUGUGUCUCCAUCUGUGUCCCAGAGUCCAAGCAGAGAAAAAGCCAAAGAGGGUGAAACGGUGACCCUUGGAUGCCGGUUCCAAAGUUCCCAUGGCUCAUCUUUGAAUAACCUAACAGUGAAAUGGUACAAGGAGGAUGAAAAAGGGUCGAGGGACCUAAUGGAGAACAACAUCACUGUAUUGGCAAACUACACCAGAGCAUUCCUGACAGGGGAGUUAUCUGAAGGCGAUGCAUCUUUGACUAUCUUCAAUGUGACAACCAGCGAUCAUGGCACUUAUUUCUGCCAGGUGACCCUUUCCAAUGGAGAGGUGGUGACAGGAGGUGGCACAAAGCUCAGGAUCCGCAGGGCGCUGGGAUUGUUUGGCAUAGAAGAAUCCAUUGGAACAAUCAUUGGCGUGGUGGCAGCUGGCAUUGGAGGCUUGUUAGUUCUAAUAGUAGUUUUAACUCCUCAGCUGAGGAAGUGCCUUCCAUGUGCUAAAGCAACGUCAAACCAAGCAUAACUUGGACAGCAUGGUUAAAGUAAUUGCCAGAUGUGCCACCGACUAUAUAGUUUUCUGAAUGUUUUCCAUCUUGAUCUUUUGCUGUCCUUCUUCUUCCCCUCCCCCUCUUGUAUGCCCCUUUGGGUUUCUCCCUUCUUACUCUCACUUUAUGAAUGGUGCGUUGGUUAAAUGAGCCCUGUUGAAGGGUCAGUGCCUGGAGCAAAAACAAAAAUCCAGACUGGCCUUGCCUC